rnacentral:rRNA from 1 species
AUGGAUACGGCCAGAACCAUCACACUGACUGAUAUGCUUCAUCUGGGCUGCAGUCUAAUGUGUAGUUGUUGCGCAUUGCAGUUCAUGUUCCCGGUGCUGUUCAUAGAUUGCUGGUCCCUGUACAGUCUUGACAUAGACAAGAAGGAAGUUAUGGCGCUCAAUCCAACUGAGACAGAUCCAGCAGAUGAGAUGAAGAGGAGGAAUGAGGCUUUGGCGAAGGAAUUCCAGCUCAGAUUCUGCCACCGUUUUAACGACAUGUUUGGUGCAGGCUUGGUCGAGACUAUUGGGCGGACCUUUAUGUACCCCUUAGUGGGGCAGCAUGAACCAUGUACAAGGAGCAGCUAG